CCUACGGGUGGCAGCAGUGAGGAAUAUUGGUCAAUGGCCGAGAGGCUGAACCAGCCAAUUCGCGUGAGGUACGACUGCACUACGGGUUGUACACCUCUUUUGUCGAGGAUCAACGCGAAUCACGUGUGACUCCUUGACAGUACCCGAAGAAAAAGCGUCGUCUAACUCCGUGCCAGCAGCCUCGGUAAUACGGGGGAUGCCAGCGUUAUCCGGAUUUAGUGGGUUUAAAGGGUGUGUAUGCGGUUGGAUAAGUUAGAGGUGAAAUACCGGUGCUCAACACCGGAACUGCCUCUAAUACUGUUGAACUAGAGAGUAGGUGCGGUAGGCGGAAUGUAUAGUGUAGCGGUGAAAUGCUUAGAGAUCAGACAGAACACCGAUUGCGAAGGCAGCUUACCAAACUAUAUCUGACGUUGAGGCACGAAAGCGUGGGUAGCAAACAGGAUUAGAUACCCCAGUAGUC
rnacentral:rRNA from 1 species